CCAGCAGCCGCGGUAAUUCCAGCUCCAAUAGCGUAUAUUUAAGUUGUUGCAGUUAAAAAGCUCGUAGUUGGAUUUCGGUUGAGAGCGGCCGGUCCGCCGUUUGGUGUGCACUGGCUGGUUUCAACUUCCUGCGGAGGACGCGCUCUGGGCUUAACGGUCUGGACGUGGAGUCCGCGUGGUUACUUUGAAAAAAUUAGAGUGUUCAAAGCGGGCUUACGCUUGAAUAUUUCAGCAUGGAAUAACACUAUAGGACUCCUGUCCUAUUUCGUUGGUCUCGGGACGGGAGUAAUGAUUAAGAGGAACAGUUGGGGGCAUUCGUAUUUCAUUGUCAGAGGUGAAAUUCU
rnacentral:rRNA from 1 species